ensembl:snoRNA
AUCCUUUUGUAGUUUAUGAGUAUGAUGACUAGGUGUUCGCAGGUAUGUGUGAGAUGUGCCACCCUCGAACCUUGUUAUGAUGUCAGCAUAUUGUUAGUCUGACA